CAGUUUGCACUGAUGUGAACGUGUUUCCACAGUGUAUGACUAGUUAUAGUGAUUUUACCCGCUUUGCACUAUCGUGAAUGUGUUUCCAUAGUGUAUGACCAGAUUAUCAGAGGUCUUUAAGACCCACUCUUAUACACAUAUAGGCUUUGGACCGUGUACUAGGGUGAUUAGCCUUUGGGCAGCUCUGCGUACGUAUGACCAGAUUAUCAGCUAUCAGAUUAUCAGAUUUGAAUGGCUUUGCCUUGUACAUUGAGAUUACUCUGUACAUGUGCAAGGCUAUUCAUUGGGUACUCUUUUUGGUCUGAUAUUUCAGUAUUUAUUCAGUUCUCAGAUUUCAGAUUAUGGAAUUCAGU
rnacentral:lncRNA from 1 species